rnacentral:rRNA from 1 species
UACAGAGGGGGCAAGCGUUGUUCGGAAUUACUGGGCGUAAAGGGCGCGUAGGCGGCCUUCUAAGUCGAACGUGAAAUCCCCGGGCUCAACCCGGGAACUGCGUCCGAGACUGGAAGGCUCGAAUCCGGGAGAGGGAUGUGGAAUUCCAGGUGUAGCGGUGAAAUGCGUAGAUAUCGGGAGGAACACCUGAGGCGAAGGCGGGCUACUGGGCCGAUACUGACGCUGAUGCGCGAAAGCCAGGGGAGCGAACGGGAUUAGAAACCCCGAGUGACGUCCACGA